rnacentral:misc_RNA from 1 species
AUACUAUCAACACAAUUUAUAUAAUGUGUUUGGAUGCUGAAGGCAAUGCUGGCUUUAUAGUUGGCUCCUUUCAAAUGUAUUAGCAGAACUAUUUAUAACUGGCUUCAGUUUGAUAAUUAAAUUUUAUCUAUGCUGUCGCUUGUUGUUUUUUGUUCAGCUUAAAAUUGUCUUUUAGACUGUCUCUAAGGCAAUAAGAAUCUA